AUAAAAAGGGCUGUGGAUGUGGCUCAGUGGCUAAGCACCUCUGGGUUCAAUGCCUGGUACCAAAAAAAAAAAAAAAAAGACAAAGAAACAAGUUGGGGGAUGUGGCUCUAGUGGUAGAGAGCUUGGCCAGCGUGUACAAAGCCUGGGUUCCAUCCCUUGCACUGCAAAAUAAAUAAGUAAAAAGGGAAAAGAAGCUGUGUUUGAUCUGAAAUGUAGCAACUACAUAUAAUCAAAAUAAGAAAAACUGGUCCAUAGAGUAUAAAACAUUGAAUGAAGCAGCAGAGGUUUUAUAUUGGAAUUGGUUUCUUUUUUCUCUCUGUAGAUGUAGAUGGUCAGAAUGCCUUUAUUUUAUUUGUACAUGUGCUAAGGAUCGAACCUAGUGCCUCCCACGUGCUCGGCCAGCGCUCUGCCCCUGAGCCCCAGCUCCAGCCUGGGUCUUAGGCCAUUUUCUAUUGCUGGGAUAGAGCACUUGAGACUCCGGGAUUGGUAGAGGUCUUUGUUUUGUAUUUUUGGAACCAAGGAUGGAACCCUGGGGCGCUUUACCACUGAGCCACAUUCCCAGUCCUUUUUAUUUUUUUGUUUUGAGACAGGGUCUUGCUAAGAUUUUAGGGCUUUGCUAAAUUGCUAAAGCUGGCCUUGAAAAUGCAAUCCUCCCGCCUCAUCCUCCCCUGUUGAUGGGAUUACAGCCGUGUGCCUUCUCACCGGGCAAGAGGUUUUCCUAUUGGUCUGCAGUUCUAGAGAUUGAGAAGUUCAAGAAUAUGGCCCUGGCAUCUGCCCAGGUCCUGGUGAGGGCCUCCUGCUGCUUCAACUCACCAGGGAAAGUAAAAGGGAGCGCGGGGACCCACUCUCCAGUCCUGCCAAAGAGAGAAUUCACUAAUUCCCAAGAGCAAUGACCCAGUCCUACAAGGCCAGCAUUAGUGACCCAAAUUCCUCCUGCAGGGCCCACCUUCUAGCACCAUGACAAUGCAAUCCAAUUGCAAUAUGAGUUUCCGAGGGGAAGUUCACAUUGGAUCAUGGCAGGAGUCAAUGAGAAGGGAAACCACUGAUGCUGGAGGCUGCAGAGAGGGC
rnacentral:lncRNA from 1 species